rnacentral:rRNA from 1 species
CGGAGGGUGCGAGCGUUGUCCGGAGUCACUGGGCGUAAAGGGCGCGUAGGCGGCGCGGGAAGCGGGCGGUGAAAGCCCGGGGCUCAACCCCGGGUCGGCCGUGCGAACUCCCGGGCUCGAGCACUGUAGGGGCAGGCGGAAUUCCGGGUGUAGCGGUGGAAUGCGUAGAGAUCCGGAAGAACACCGGUGGCGAAGGCGGCCUGCUGGGCAGUGGCUGACGCUGAGGCGCGAACAGCGUGGGGAGCAAACAGGAUU